rnacentral:rRNA from 1 species
UAGAGUUUGAUCCUGGCUCAGGACGAACGCUGGCGGCGUGCUUAACACAUGCAAGUCGAGCGGAAAGGCCUUUCGGGGUACUCGAGCGGCGAACGGGUGAGUAACACGUGAGUAAUCUGCCCUUGGCUUUGGGAUAACUACCGGAAACGGUGGCUAAUACCGGAUACGACAACCGUCUGCAUGGGCUGGUUGUGGAAAGUUUUUUCGGCCAGGGAUGUGCUCGCGGCCUAUCAGCUUGUUGGUGGGGUAAUGGCCUACCAAGGCUUCCACGGGUAGCCGGCCUGAGAGGGUGACCGGCCACACUGGGACUGAGACACGGCCCAGACUCCUACGGGAGGCAGCAGUGGGGAAUAUUGGACAAUGGGCGGAAGCCUGAUCCAGCAACGCCGCGUGAGGGAUGACGGCCUUCGGGUUGUAAACCUCUUUCAGUACCGACGAAGCGCCGAUGAUGGUGGUGACGGUAGGUACAGAAGAAGCACCGGCCAA